AGAAGAGGGAACUCCACGGAGAAGAAAAUAGUAACGAGGCCCCAAAGGUGGAAGUACAGCCUGAGAAACUUUGCCCAGGCUGGGACUGGCUGCCCUGCCUGCUUGUCUUGCUGCUCUUGCAGGGCCUAAGGUGUGGUAUCCCCUCAGGCUUUAAAAUCCCGAUAUCUCUCCCAUGAUGGAAACACUGAAGCUCAGAGGUGAAAUAAUUGCCCCACGACCCAGAGAAGUCAAGGUUUGAAACCCCCACAUGGCCAGCCUUGAAGCCCAGGACUACUGAGACCGCAGCAACUGAGUUCUCAAGUGAAUAGCAAGAAGAUGAGGGAAACAAUGGGGCUCUCCUGAAAGCCCCCGGAGGAAGCGUCUACGGAUAUCUUUUUGGCCAGACCUGGGUUGUAGACACUUCAGCUUCAAGGGGCUCUGGGGAGGUAUGUGAUCUUCCAUGGGCAGCCUGCUGCCCUAAGCCCAGCUGGAGCCCUGUUAGUGAAGAACAAGGAGAGACUGGAGACCGGAGGCCAACCAGGGCAUCUGCCGCUCUACUGCCACAAAUAAGUAGAUCAGCUGGGUUCCAAGGCUCUGGCGCAGUCUCAGAAGCGCAGAUGAAAGUAAUCCAGGUUGGCCAAGAGGGCUUCAUGGGAUGCCUCUGUAGCUCAUAGACCCGUGGUUCCUGUGUGUCUGCCGUGGGAAGCUCAGUAGGUAGAAAAAGAGGCUCUUUCUCAAGGCUGGCAGAGCCCCGGGUUGGGGCCAUCCCUUGGCAAAUGGGGCGCAAGCAGGAUUUCAGCUCCAGCCAGCUCCUCAACCAGAUGUCUUUGUGCAGUGCACAAAUUGCACAACUGAACACAGAAGACCUUUGUAGCUAUCAGAGUAAAUUCGAAUUACAUAUCUGGUCCCUUCCUUUGUCCAAUCAGAGAUGAAAGCAGUACUGCUCCAGGAUAGUCAGGAAACAGAGGGCAAGGAAAAAAGUAGAGGGGAGUGUCAGAGAAGAAACCUCUAAAUAGUGGAGUUGACCGUUUUGAACCCUCAGCGUCAGCUGCUCCAUCUUACUUGGCUCAUUGUAAACCCACAGUCUCAGUUGGAAAGCCAAGAGGAUAUUUAUAUAGGGUGGAUCCAACCACAAACUAUCUGAAUUACUGUUGGAGAACCUGACUCUACUGUGCUCCGUAAGACUAGAGACAAUAUUUAUUUCAUUCACUGUUGUCUCCCCAGGUCUUCACA